CCUACGGGCGGCAGCAGUGGGGAAUAUUGCACAAUGGGGGAAACCCUGAUGCAGCGACGCCGCGUGAGUGAAGAAGUAAUUCGGUAUGUAAAGCUCUAUCAGCAGGGAAGAAAAUGACGGUACCUGAGUAAAAAGCCCCGGCUAACUACGUGUCAGCAGCCGCGGUAAUACGUAGGGGGCAAGCGGUAUCCGGAUUUACUGGGUGUAAAGGGAGCGUAGGCGGCAGUGCAAGUCUGGAGUGAAAGGCGGGGGCUAAACCCCCGGACUGCUCUGGAAACUGUACGGCUGGAGUGCAGGAGAGGUAAGUGGAAUUCCUAGUGUAGCGGUGAAAUGCGUAGAUAUUAGGAGGAACACCAGUGGCGAAGGCGGCUUACUGGACUGUAACUGACGGUGAGGCUCGAAAGCGUGGGGAGCAAACAGGAUUAGAUACCCCUGUAGUC
rnacentral:rRNA from 1 species